AGGCGGCUUUCUGGACUGCAACUGACACUGAGGCACGAAAGCGUGGGUAGCAAACAGGAUUAGAUACCCUGGUAGUCCACGCUGUAAACGAUGAGUACUAGGUGUCGGGGGUUACCCCCCUCGGUGNCCGCAGCUAACGCAUUAAGUACUCCGCCUGGGGAGUACGCACGCAAGUGUGAAACUCAAAGGAAUUGACGGGGACCCGCACAAGUAGCGGAGCAUGUGGUUUAAUUCGAAGCAACGCGAAGAACCUUACCUAAGCUUGACAUCCCUCGGACAGGUGUUUAAUCGCACCCUUCCUUCGGGACUGAGGUGACAGGUGGUGCAUGGUUGUCGUCAGCUCGUGUCGUGAGAUGUUGGGUUAAGUCCCGCAACGAGCGCAACCCUUGUCUUUAGUUGCCAGCAUUCAGUUGGGCACUCUAGAGAGACUGCCAGGGAUAACCUGGAGGAAGGUGGGGAUGACGUCAAAUCAUCAUGCCCCUUAUGCUUAGGGCUACACACGUGCUACAAUGGGUGGUACAGAGGGUUGCCAAACCGUGAGGUGGAGCCAAUCCCUUAAAGCCAUUCUCAGUUCGGAUUGUAGGCUGAAACUCGCCUACAUGAAGCUGGAGUUACUAGUAAUCGCAGAUCAGAAUGCUGCGGUGAAUGCGUUCCCGGGUCUUGUACACACCGCCCGUCACACCACGGGAGUCGGAAACACCCGAAGCCGAUUAUCCAACCGCAAGGAGGAAGUCGUCGAAGGUGGCGUCGAUAACUGGGGUGAA
rnacentral:rRNA from 1 species